CAAGCACCGCGCGCAGUCCCGGUUCCUGCCCGCGCCUCUCCCUCCACACCUCCUUGCAAGCUGAGGGAGCCGGCUCUGGCCUUGGCCAGCCCAGAAAGGGGCUGCCAUAGUGCAGCGGAGGGCUGAAGGGCUCCUCAAGUGCCGUCAAAGUGGGAGCCCAGUCAGAGGAGGUGCCGAAAGCGAGCGAGGGCUGUGAGGACUGCCAGCACAGUGUCACCUCUCACUCUCUCUCAGUGCUGUGAGAGUAUGGGUUCCUCUCCCACUUGAGUGCUGGCUACAGAACUUGGCUUCGCACUGCUGGGCUGUGCACCACGGCCCUAAGCUGGAGGGCAGUAAGGGCAGUACCGCUGCAGCCGCAAUGAGAGAGGGGCUGUGCGUUGUCUACAGAAUUCCCUCCCCAGAGAAACUCAGAGCUGCCACCUACUGAAAUGUUCAGCUGGAAAAAAUGAAUCUGGGAAAGAAGAUGAGAACAAGAUUUCAGAAAGCUGUGAGAAAAUAACCAUGAUAUCAUCAUGCCUUUUCUGGAUUAAGGAGGCAUAAAUUGCUGUGUGACCCUAUUUUCCGGUAGAUGGGGAAUUUAACAAUCAGAUGACAUUUAAUAGCAAAUGGAUACUUGCUAUUGUCUCAACAAAGCACCAGGUGGAAUGAAGAUGAAGCCAGCUGCCAUGCUUAAAGGUCUUUUACGGAGAUCCACUUGGCAAUAAACUGAGGAUGGCCUCUGGCAACAGCCUGUGAGGAACUAGGUCCCUCAGCCCAACAGCUCUCCCGGAACUGAAUCUUGACAACAACUAUGUGCUGGAUCUGGAAUGUGUUGCCUCCCUCAGUAGAGCCUUAGGGUGACUACAAGCCCAUCCAACACACUGAGUACAUACAGCCUCUGAGCAACCUGAAUUCAUGGACCCAGGGAAGUCAUGCCCAGAAUCCUGACCAAUAACAACUGUCAGAAAAUUAAUGUUUUAAGUCACUAAGAUUUGAGGUAAUUUGUUACACAGCAAUAUAUUUCAAAACAAGGUCUCUCAGGAAAUGAUUUUUUGUCUUUGUCUAUAAAACCACUAUAAUUCUGAGGUCAGUAAACCAGGUAACUCGUGUGAUCUAAAGGUUAUACAUUAAAGAAUAAAUUAAUAAAAAUAACCAUUGUUUUGUUUUUCCACAAUCACUAAACUAUGAGUUUUAUCUAACAUCUUGCAAAGAGAUAGGGAAAUACACAACAAAACUCUGGGAUCUAGAAAAGGGGUAUAAAUGGUUGUCAUAAACAAAAAUAAUAGCUGGUAAAGGGAUGAGGCAGUUGCUUAUAAAAGCAAUAGAGAAGAAAACGUGAUGUGAGUGGUUGGUGAAUGGGUAAUUUUCUCACUCAAACAGCUGCUGAGCCCUUGCGAUAUACCACUCAUAGUGAGAAGCUCUGUGGAUACAAAAAUGAUCAAAAAUUGCUCUUUGCUCUCAAGAACAUUGUGGUAUAAUGAAACAGACAGGCACACACAGACUUGCAUACACACUUUCCACUAUGAAACAAUGUGAUGAGUGUGAAGAAAGAUGUUUGUGUGGUGUGUAACAGAGAAGCAUUGACUUCUCAGAGGAUGUGUCAGGUGUGUCCUCUGGGAAGCAGACAGUGAG
rnacentral:lncRNA from 10 species